rnacentral:tRNA from 1 species
GUUUUUGUAGUUUAAUAAGAACGAAGGUUUGUGGUACCUUAGGUGUAAUAUUUACCAAAAAUC